rnacentral:piRNA from 1 species
CUUUUGGGCUGAGCCAGACAGAAGGA